UACGUAGGGUGCAAGCGUUGUCCGGAAUUAUUGGGCGUAAAGAGCGUGUAGGCGGCCCCGUUAGUCCGCUGUGAAAGUCCAGGGCUCAACCCUGGGAUGCCGGUGGAUACUGUCGGGCUCGAGUCCGGAAGAGGAGUGUGGAAUUCCUGGUGUAGCGGUGAAAUGCGCAGAUAUCAGGAGGAACACCAAUGGCGAAGGCAGCACUCUGGGACGUGACUGACGCUGAGACGCGAAAGCGUGGGGAGCAAACAGG
rnacentral:rRNA from 1 species